UUAAAUUGAAGAGUUUGAUCAUGGCUCAGAUUGAACGCUGGCGGCAGGCCUAACAAAUGCAA
rnacentral:rRNA from 1 species